AGUUUAUUCCUGCUGGGGAACGCUUAUAUCAACCUCUGAACUUCCUUGUUUCUGGACUGAGAAAAAUGGGUGCACUGUUUCUUCUCAUAAACAAGUUGUUCCCAUGUUCUGUGGGAAUGUUUAUAUCAAAGAACACUCCAUGUGCAGGUGGUGAUCUGAAAGAGUAAAAUACUUCCCAUUGCACCAUAACUGACCUUUCACAUGUUAGCUACACCCAGCUUCAAGCUGGGAGUUCUGUAUCUUCAGUUGAAUGAUAUUUCUAGCAGUCUGAAGAGGGAACCUCAGCAUUUGAAAAAAAAAUCUACCUCAUCACUGGUCUGCUCCAACACUGGCAAUCUUAAACACUCAGAAGUAGAAGAAUGUACUCUCUUGUGAAUCACUGGCCAUGGGACCUCACUCCUUAGAGACAUCUGUCCACUGAGACCUCACUUUACUGUUGCAGUGACUAAGUAGGAAAUAGGAACCUCAAGGAAAGUGAUGCUGCAGUCAACAACUCCUCAGAGCCAUGGUGCAGCCCCAGCCCCUGCUCCCAUGACACAGCCCUGCACCUGAGCAGCACGCAGAUCUCAGGACCAUGCUUCUACAGCCAAAAACCUUUUCAUGGUGCCAGGACACUGAGCUUUUACACUAUCCAGCUGCCAUGGAGAUUUGGCCAGCUGAUUUAUUGCAAUCAGUUAUUAGUGCUGUACAUUGGUACUUUGAACAUGCACCCUAACCAGGAUGUCUUUCAGCUUGUUCAAAAGCUAAGUAAAAUGGUUUUUUUUUUCCUUCAUAUCGUUUCUCUCUUGUAUAAUCUGUAUGCCUUCAGUAAUAUAUAUGCAUUGCAUAUGUUCAUAGCAUACCCAUGCAAUAUAUGUAUGUAUUUAUCAGAUGCUCAUUCACAAAACCAAAUACAAAUAUAAAUUCAGGCAACAUGUGGUGUUUCAGUAAUCACCUUCAUGUUUGCUCUUCAGCAAGAAUAAGCCCUAAAUUAAAGGUAUAUAGACCUCCCUCCUUGGUGUGCUUACACAUAUAUUAUAUGUGUACAUACAUAUUUAUCAACAUAUAAAUGAAUAGUAUUUUCACUGUAUGAAUAACCCAAUGAAGUGAGAUGGUACAACAUAUAACUGAAUUGGUAAAAUGUUCCCUGUAGGGUGGUGAUAAUUCACAACAUCCUGAAUCUAUGACAAUAAAUACAGAGACAGUUUAUCAAGGAGAAAACAGCAACUUGCCUCUGUAAAAGAAUACUCUUGCAGAAUUACCCAUCUACCCCACUGAAACCACAGGGUUACAGUCCCACCCUUUUCUGUUACCAGGCUAGGAACAGAAAUUUUGCAG
rnacentral:lncRNA from 1 species